CGAUAUACAUUCAAAAAUUAUUUAAAAUCACAGAAUUUUCCCCAAAUUACACAUUGUGUCUCAUAUUUUGGCAGAAAACCAGCAUGCUAUCACUAAUGUGGAGGACCAAGACACGAGAGUCUUCUUCUCAAAAAUCAACCGUUUUUGAAAAUUUUCCCAAUAACAGAAAUUAUUUGAGUGAAAAUAAUUUCAAAUCCGAAGAAGAUGGAUUAUCUUGCAACCAUUAUCAAUAUUCUUACAAUUUUCUCAACUCUUGCCACCUUUGCCACAAGCCCUUGAGUGGUAAAAAUAUUUACAUGUGCAGGGGUGAAGUGGGAUUUUGCAGUGAGGAGUGCAGAAGCAGGCAAAUGUAUUUGGAUGAUAUGAAGAAAAUCGAGGUCUCUACUAGAAGAAUCUUGGCAUCUUUUCAUGAGCGCCGCCGCCACGGUGGCGGCUGGUGCGAGACUAGAGCAGUCCCUGGCGGCACCGCCCAUUUCAUAUCGAGGUUUUGAGUUUGUUGUAGACAGUUAGAAAGGUGGUUGGAAGUUGGGUUAUACAGUUUUCAACAUAUAUAGCUAUAGUUUGAAACGUGAGGUUUAUAAUAAAUAGUCACAAAAUUUUGUAGGAACUCUCUCUCACUAUACAUAUAUAAAAGUGAUACUAGUAUUUGUGUG